AUUGAACGCUGGCGGCAGGCCUAACACAUGCAAGUCGAACGAGUGGCGGACGGGUGAGUAAUGUCUGGGAAACUGCCUGAUGGAUGGGGAUAACAACUGGAAACGGUUGCUAAUACCGCACACCAUAGGAUGUGCCCAGAUGGGAUUAGCUAGUUGGUGGGGUAAAGGCUCACCAAGGCGACGAUCCCUAGCUGGUCUGAGAGGAUGAUCAGCCACACUGGAACUGAGACACGGUCCAGACUCCUACGGGAGGCAGCAGUGGGGAAUAUUGCACAAUGGGCGAAAGCCUGAUGCAGCCAUGCCGCGUGUGUGAAGAAGGUCUUCGGGUUGUAAAGUACUUUCAGCGGGGAGGCGUUACCCGCAGAAGAAGCACCGGCUAACUCCGUGCCAGCAGCCGCGGUAAUUC
rnacentral:rRNA from 1 species